GCCCAGUGAUGAGACCAAGGCGAAUAUGAUCUUACUGAAUGAGAGCUGGGUUCUUCUUUGCCUUGACUGGCAGGUAAUCUUGGCAGUGCAGAGGAGGAUUCCUGCUCUGCUGUAAGGGCCUGCCUACAGUGACUUGGCUCGUCUCAAAUUAUUCCUCAGCAGUUAUAGUGGAGUAAUUGCUGGGAUGACGCUGACAGUGUGUGUGUGUGUGUGUGAGUGAGAAAAGCAAAAAGUUCAGCCGGCUCUCUUUUGCUUUCAGUCUGCAAUGAUUUGCGUCUUUGGUAAUCUGAGGGCA
rnacentral:snoRNA from 1 species